rnacentral:lncRNA from 1 species
UUGAGGUUGUCCUUUUAGAGACCAUAUUAUGAUAUGAGGCUGAGAGAUUACGGGGUUGACUUAACUUCAAACUUGUCCCUUUUACCAAACAAUGUCAGUUUUGACUUCUCUCCUCUUAUCGAUCUCCAUCGCCUUCAUUUUCGAAAUAAGGUUGGUUCUCAUACACCAAGUUUAAUUUAAUAAACCUCCAAAGUAGAAGGUUGCGGAAUUUUUCAAGUUUAGUACCUUUGGGAACCUGUAAUCCCGGACUAGUUUUUAGAACCUCUGAGUGAAGACUUGUUGGAACCUCUAUGUCAGAUCUUUUUGGAACUUUUAUGUAACCGAUGAAAGAAGAAGAACAAUCUGCAAGGAAUUCCGUCAACCACACGGGUAUAGAGACCAUAAUACAGAGAUUGAUUUACGGAUUAAAAAAGUCUGUUUUCAUCGUCGUCUCAGUUGGGUUUACAGAAUCUUUGGCAGAUCGAUCAAUCUCUUUUUCUAUAUCACAAGGGUGAGCUUAUUUUCUUGUAAGCGUACAUAAUAUCAUCACAAAUCAACAAGGAAUUUCAUAUCAAAGAAGAUCUUGGUAAAUGAAGAUUCUUAUUAGUAAUACGUACAUGUUAACAAGGUGGAGGACGGAUCGAUUCUACUCUCACAAGCCAACUUGUUUCAUUCGGUCAAUUUGGGAAAUCUAAAAUCUCAUCAAAAUCCAUGGAGGCUAUCUAAUUUACUUACUUGGGCAAUAACAUGGAAAUCCACAAAGAAAAAACAACCAAUGUCAAUGGUGUCGCGUUCAUCGACUGAAUCGGAA